GACACAAGAAGAGAGAGAACACAAAUAGCUGUGAUGAACCACAUACCAGAGCAGCAAAGCAGAAUAUCGACGGAAAUGCACAAGCAAACAUCAUGAUCAUCCCAAACUGAAGAGUUAGCUCAAGAAAAUCUGUGAUGGACUCAACAAUGUAAGAACAUAACACAGACAUCCAAAAGAACUGAGAAUAGACAGGAUGAUUAUUUAUUGCUGUUACCAUCAAAUAAACCAUCUUCAAGUUCUUCUCCAAUGCUUGCAGUAUACGAGGGUUUUAGAUAUUCUUUCUCUACUCUUGUAGAUAACCGAACUGACUUCCCAGCUGGCGAUUCUUUCUCAUGUUUUUUCUUGCUACAAGAUGGAAGAGAUUUCUUACAUCUCUGAAUUGGUCUGGAAAAAGAAUAGUAGGACAAACAGAUUUGGCUGCAGAACUUACUGAACAGCUCUAUACUUUUUAUAGCUAUAAUUGAGGUAAGGAAUGGAAUUCUCAAUCAGAUUUUCCAAUACCUGCAAGUUAAUAUGUAUCAUCAAAGGAAGACUAGCAUUUAUGAUUAUAACUAAUGAUGGAAUAAUUACAAUGCAGACAUGCCUGGGACACAAUGAGACGCUUGAUUAGGACUUGCCGGAGUGCCAUAAUGUUGCGGUGCAGUGAAGCAUGGUAAAACAAUCCAAUAUAUGAUUGCAUAAAGUAAAGACCAAAGACCUGCAUUUGCCAAAAGAGUAAGAAACCUAACAUAAAGCGUGAACCAUAUUCUUGGCAUCAUUGUGUUUACCUUAUAAACCAAACUAUCAGCACUAGACUGUUCCCCUUGGUUGUUUUCAUACUUUAUUAGAGUGACAGACACCUUGCCACCUAUCCUUGUGUAAUACUGAAUUGCAGCAAGAUACACUGCAGUUAACACAUACCUGCAUAAACAUCAGCAAUAAGAACUGAUGCUUCAUAUUUUAGUGGUAACCAUAAACAACAAAAUAAAACAUAAGGAAUAGAUAUAAAACAAUUAGGAGAAAAUAAGCUUCAGGUCAAUUGCACAUCGUUGAUAACUCAAGAAUCAUGAAUAGAUCAUAGUGAUAUUCCUACAAUCUUACCUUAGCGCCUCAGUUUUUGUAAUCGCAUAUAGAUGAGCAUAGGCCAACUCAAAUGGCAGCUGAAGACAAAUGAUAGCCAAAACAAUGAUAGCAUUAUUCCUAAUUCUAAGGAGAACACCAAACCACUCAUUUCUUUGUACUAUACUUUUCUCCUUGGGAGCACCAAAUUUCCUCUGCUGAACAUUGUCAUCAGCCAUAGAAAAGCUUAAAGGGUCCAGUUCAUUGCCCAUAGUUUUGUAUUCCGAAAAUGAAUAAUUUAUACCCCAUCUGUUGAAAACAUCACAUAAAAGAAAGGCAUGUUUGUGAGCACGGUCUUGAAUAUGUUUCAAAGGAACUUAAUUGACUUAGAUAUAUACAGAUUGCAUAGAAAAUUGCAUGCUACCUAGCAAGGACAGCUGAAUUCUUCCGUUUCCAAAAUUGCAAAAAGAAGACAGCCCAAGAAAUAACGAAGAAAAAGAAAGCUGGAAGAACCAACCACUGUAAUGACCUGAAUUCAGACAGCAGAGAAAAACAUUUAGCUGACGACAACAAUAAAAUCCCAAUGAUAUUUUCUAGAUGAGAGGUGCAUACCCAAAAUCUAUCAGCUGGGUUGCAAGUCCAAAAACAGCUGGAAAGAACAGCCAACGUGUAUACAUUCCGAGGAAAGAAAAAUAUAUUGCAAUCUGCAAUUCCAGAAUUAAAUUUUAUGGAGUAGAAUAAGGUGAUACUUGAUUUGCUUCAGAUAGAAUAGUUCAUAAAUUAAAUAUGGUAGGUGUAACAUGUGCAAUCACGCUGGUCUACCUUUGUUCCAAAGUAAGAGUAAAUUUCAUCAAUAGGUUGCCAUGUGAAAUCAAACCACUUGAGUGCCCAGCUUCUCAGGAGUUGCUUCCUUUUAAUUUCAUCUGCAGCAAAACAGUUGGUUAUCUAAUACUAAGAAUUUCAAAAAUAAUUCAGGUUGGUUUACCAUGCAAAGGGAAGACUAGCUUUACGAUUCCUUCAUCUUCCAGCCUGGUUAAGAGUGACUCAUUUUGAGUCCAGUGGAACUCUUUAUCGUCAAAGCUGAGAGUUAUAUCAGAAUCGGUCUUGUUCACCUGCAAGUCUCCAUAUCUACCUACUGUCAAAUAAGGAAAUAUGAAGCACAACAAGACUAAUCACUUUGUACAUUAGCUAUAUGUUUUAUUCAUAUCUCAUGUCAAGCGAAAAGAAAAACUUUGAGACUUGAGAGAAUAACCAUAGUAUAAGCAGAAAUAUACUAAACCACUUUCCUAUUUGCACUUGGCUUGUUUCUUAAAUGCAAAUAUAAUAGACAGGUCAUCUGAUGCAUAAUGAACUAUACUUAAAUCUUUGAAUCAGCAGUGCUGCAAAAAAAAAAUCAAUUUUGCAAAAGCCAGGCAGGACAUACAUGCCAUCCGUGAAAUACCGGUACUAACAACGAAGCAGUGCUGGUCUAGAAAAAUGCCAACUUAGUGUGGAAUCUCCAAACAUAAAUAACUAUAACUACAAUGUGCCGAAGUGGGUAACAGGAACAAAAGCAACUACAAUGGGAGACAACUGUGCA
rnacentral:lncRNA from 1 species